UGGGGUAUUUUGCACAAUGGGGGAAACCCUGAUGCAGCGACGCCGCGUGAUUUAGAAGGCCUUCGGGUUGUAAAAAUCUUUUUUACGGGAUGAAAAUGACAGUACCGUAAGAAUAAGGUCCGGCUAAAUACGUGCCAGCAGCCGCGGUAAUACGUAUGGACCGAGCGUUGUCCGGAAUCAUUGGGCGUAAAGGGUACGUAGGCGGCCUAGUAAGUUAGAAGUGAAAUAAUAUAGCUCAACUAUAUAAAGCUUUUAAAACUGCUAGGCUUGAGAGAUGGAAGGGAAAGUGGAAUUCCUAGUGUAGCGGUGAAAUGCGCAGAUAUUAGGAAGAAUACCGGUGGCGAAGGCGACUUUCUGGUCAUCAUCUGACGCUGAGGUACGAAAGCGUGGGUAGCAAACAGG
rnacentral:rRNA from 1 species